rnacentral:rRNA from 1 species
GAUGAACGCUGACAGAAUGCUUAACACAUGCAAGUCAACUUGAACUUCGGUUUGGGUGGCGGACGGGUGAGUAACGCGUAAAGAACUUGCCUCACAGAUAGGGACAACAUUUGGAAACGAAUGCUAAUACCUGAUAUUAUGAUUAUAUGGCAUCGUAUAAUUAUGAAAGCUAUAUGCGCUGUGAGAGAGCUUUGCGUCCCAUUAGCUAGUUGGAGAGGUAACGGCCCACCAAGGCGAUGAUGGGUAGCCGGCCUGAGAGGGUGAUCGGCCACAAGGGGACUGAGACACGGCCCUUACUCCUACGGGAGGCAGCAGUGGGGAAUAUUGGACAAUGGACCAAGAGUCUGAUCCAGCAAUUCUGUGUGCACGAUGAAGUUUUUCGGAAUGUAAAGUGCUUUCAGUUGGGAAGAAAAAAAUGACGGUACCAACAGAAGAAGUGACGGCUAAAUACGUG